GGCACCUUCGGUGUCCGAGUUGUAAUUUGAAGAAGGUAACUUUGGAGUUGGCUCUUGUCUAUGUUCCUUGGAACAGGACGUCACAGAGGGUGAGAAUCCCGUGCGAUGAGAUGUCCAACUCUAUGUAAAGUGCUUUCGAAGAGUCGAGUUGUUUGGGAAUGCAGCUCUAAGUGGGUGGUAAAUUCCAUCUAAAGCUAAAUAUUGGCGAGAGACCGAUAGCGAACAAGUACAGUGAUGGAAAGAUGAAAAGAACUUUGAAAAGAGAGUGAAAAAGUACGUGAAAUUGUUGAAAGGGAAGGGUUUGAGAUCAGACUUGGUAUUUUGUAUGUCUUGCUUUCGGGUGGGGCCUCUGCAGUUUACUGGGCCAGCAUCGGUUUGGACGGUAGGAUAAUGACAUUGGAAUGUGGCACUACUUCGGUGGUGUGUUAUAGACUUUGUUGAUACUGCCUGUCUAGACCGAGGACUGCGUCUUUGACUAGGAUGCUGGCAUAAUGAUCCUAAACCGCC
rnacentral:rRNA from 1 species